ACCAGAGGGCCUCAAAGCCCUCCGGAUCGCGCCAGCGGCCCACCCGUCGCGCCGGUCCGUGUUGUUAAGCCCACAAGGCGGAUCGACGAGGUUGCGACUGGCAAGAGGUUGUCCUGAGGGACGGGGAAGCAAGCCUGAGUAACAGCACGAAGUGACGGAUUCAGCCGUCCACCAUCGCCCAACGGCUGCCACGAGCCGGCAAGCGAUUCUGGAUGUCACCGCUGCAGUCACGAGUCUGUAC
rnacentral:ncRNA from 1 species